UUACUGGUGGUCUAGUGGUUAGGAUUCAGUACUCUCCACGUCACGACUCGGGUUCGAUUCCCGGUCAAGGAA